rnacentral:SRP_RNA from 1 species
GCCAGGCAUAAUGGUGUGUGCCUUUAGUCUCAGCUACUCAGAGGAUAAGGCCGGGAGGAUCACUUGAGCCCAGGAGUUCUGGUCUGUAGGACACUAUCACUAGAGGGUAUGAGGGUAUCUACAUUAACUUCAGCAUCAAUAUAGUGAACUUCUGGAAGAGGCGGAUCAACAGGUUGCCCUAGGAGAGGUGAAUCUGCCCAGAUUGAAAAUGGAGCAGAUCAAAAUUCCUGGGCUGGUAAGUAGCAAGAUUGUUCCUGUGAGCAGCCACUGUACUCCAGCCUGGGCAACAUAGCAAGACCCCAUCCCU